ensembl:lncRNA
UCAAAACUGCAUUCCCAUGAUCUAUAGCCCUUGAAAGUGCCUCACUCCGUCCUCCACCUUAAGAUGGCAGUAGAGUCUCAGCUACAGCACAUACUGCCACUGUAGACCAGAUUCAUCACUUCAUCCGCAACUGCCUGAAUGGAUGCUUAACCUCCACACCCCAACCGGCCUCCCGUAUCACACCACAGGCGUCCUGUAGAGAUGUUCUGUGGAUUGGAAGUGGUUACCAUUAUUAAUCAGACAUGACAUAAAACAGUGAUGCCAUCAUUUUAAAAAGACCUUCAU